rnacentral:rRNA from 1 species
CUGGCGGCACGCCUAAUACAUGCAAGUCGAACGAAGUAGCAAUACUUAGUGGCAGACGGGUGAGUAACAUGUAGGUAUCUUCCCUUUGGUGAGGAAUAACAUGAGGAAACUUAUGCUAAUACCUCAUAAGUCUUUACGGAGAAAGCUUUAUGCGCCGAUGGAUGAGCCUGCACUUGAUUAGUUUGUUGGUAGGGUAAUGGCCUACCAAGACAAUUAUCAAUAGCUGAUUUGAGAGGAUGAUCAGCCACAUUGGGACUGAGACACGGCCCAAACUCCUACGGGAGGCAGCAGUAGGGAAUCUUGCACAAUGGGGGAAACCCUGAUGCAGCGAUGCCGCGUGAGUGAAGAAGGCCUUUGGGUUGUAAAGCUCUUUCGUCGGGGAAGAAAAUGACUGUACCCGAAUAAGAAGGUCCGGCUAA